CCUACGGGAGACAGCAGUGAGGAAUAUUGGUCAAUGGCCGGAAGGCUGAACCAGCCAUGCCGCGUGAAGGUCAGUGCCCUAUGGGCGUUAAACUUCUUUUGUGCGGGAGCAAUAAUGGUCACGUGUGGCCAGACGAGAGUACCGUACGAAUAAGCAUCGGCUAACUCCGUGCCAGCAGCCGCGGUAAUACGGGGGAUGCAAGCGUUAUCCGGGUUUAUUGGGUUUAAAGGGUGCGUAGGCUGUGAGGUAAGUCAGCGGUGAAAUGCCCCCGCUCAACGGGGUGAAGUGCCAUUGAUACUGCCUGGCUGGAAUGCGGAUGCAGUGGGAGGAAUGUGUGGGGUAGCGGUGAAAUGCAUAGAUAUCACACAGAACACCGAUUGCGAAGGCAUCUCACGAAUCCGCGAUUGACGCUGAUGCACGAAAGCGUGGGUAUCAAACAGGAUUAGAUACCCGAGUAGUC
rnacentral:rRNA from 1 species